rnacentral:rRNA from 1 species
CGCGAAUAGCUCAUUACAACAGCCUUAGUUAUUGGAUCUUAGAGUCCUACUUGGAUAACUGUGGUAAUUCUAGAGCUAAUACACGCAAUUAAUCCUCAACCUUACGGGCGAGGAGCAUUUAUUAGAACAAAACCAAUUGGCUUCGGCCGUAUCUGGUGAAUCUGAAUAACUACGCUGAUCGCAUGGUCUCGUACCGGCGACAUAUCCUUCAAGUGUCUGCCUUAUCAACUGUCGAUGGUAGUUUACACGCCUACCAUGGUUGUAACGGGUAACGGAGAAUAAGGGUUCGACUCCGGAGAGGGAGCCUGAGAAACGGCUACCACAUCCAAGGAAGGCAGCAGGCGCGCAAAUUACCCACUCUCAGAACGAGGAGGUAGUGACGAAAAAUAACGAGACAGUUCUCUAUGAGGUCUGUCAUCGGAAUGGGUACAAUUUAAACCCUUUAACGAGGAUCUAUUGGAGGGCAAGUCUGGUGCCAGCAGCCGCGGUAAUUCCAGCUCCAAUAGCGUAUAUUAAAGUUGUUGCGGUUAAAAAGCUCGUAGUUGGAUCUGCGGUCGUAGACUCUGGUUCCCUCCUAGGGAUACUAGCUGUCUCGACCUACCUUGUUAGAUUUCCCUUGGUGCUCUUUACUGAGUGCCUUGGGUGUCUAGCUCGUUUACUUUGAAAAAAUUAGAGUGCUUAAAGCAGGCAUUUGCCUGAAUAGUGGUGCAUGGAAUAAUGGAAUAGGACCUCGGUUCUAUUUUGUUGGUUUUCGGAGCAUGAGGUAAUGAUUAAGAGGGACAGACGGGGGCAUUCGUACUGCUACGUUAGAGGUGAAAUUCUUGGAUCGUAGCAUGACGAACAACUGCGAAAGCAUUUGCCAAGAAUGUUUUCAUUAAUCAAGAACGAUAGUUAGAGGUUCGAAGGCGAUCAGAUACCGCCC